GUAUCUAAGCUGCAAUCGUCGAGUCUGAGUUGUAAGCGUCGAGUCUGAACUGUGAUCGUCGAGUCUGAACUAUGAUCGUUGAGUCUGACCGAGUCCUUGUGAUGAACUUUUGACUUAGCAUUCCUCUUGGUUCAAGAUAACUAAGGAAGGGCCAACCUCAUAGAGUGAAUCAAGGGUUAGGUUUGUUCUUGAGGUGCUUAUUUAG
rnacentral:lncRNA from 1 species